GGGGCUGUCUUUGGUUUUGACGGCGUGCAAGGUCGGCAUGUAAGCAUGUCGGGGCAGGUAACAACCCCCGUGAACAGGGUUACAAAACUAUAAAUGGCGAAUCUUAUGACUACGCUCUCGCUGCCUAAUUGAAGUUUCAGUAGAUUAGCUUAAUUCCCGGACAGGAGUUCCGGGAACGGGACAUCUCCCGCCGGCUCGUCCGCCGCCCAAGCGACAAGGAGGUGCUAUCAAUAGGUGGAAUAGUUGUCGCAGGCCUCGAUGUGGCGAUGAAAUUCAGAGGAUAAGAGGUAGUUAGGGCGUUUCCUCCCGGACUGCCUACGAAAAUCAACAGGCAACUAAACAUGUAGAAAGCAUGGUGGUCUCAUGUUCGGACCGGGGUUCGACCCCCCGCAGCUCCACUA
rnacentral:tmRNA from 1 species